AUGCUUGCUUCGACAGCACAUAUAGUGAAAUUGGAACAAUGCAGAGAUUAACAUGGCCCCUGCCCAGGGACAACAUGCAAAUUCAUGAAUUAUUCCAUAUUUAC
ensembl:snRNA Gm24892 predicted gene, 24892